rnacentral:miRNA from 17 species
GUGCCUACUGAGCUGAUUAGCAGU